AACGAACGCUGGCGGCAGGCCUAACACAUGCAAGUCGAGCGAGGACUUCGGCCCUAGCGGCGGACGGGUGAGUAACGCGUGGGAACGUGCCCUUUGCUACGGAAUAGCCCCGGGAAACUGGGAGGAAUACCGGAUGUGCCCGAGAGGGGAAAGAUUUAUCGGAUAAGGAUCGGCCCGCGUUGGAUUAGGUAGUUGGUGGGGUAAUGGCCUACCAAGCCGACGAUCCAUAGCUGGUUUGAGAGGAUGAUCAGCCACACUGGGACUGAGACACGGCCCAGACUCCUACGGGAGGCAGCAGUGGGGAAUCUUAGACAAUGGGGGAAACCCUGAUCUAGCCAUGCCGCGUGAGCGAUGAAGGCCUUAGGGUUGUAAAGCUCUUUCAGUGGGGAAGAUAAUGACGGUACCCACAGAAGAAGCCCCGGCUAACUCCGUGCCAGCCGCCGCAGUAAGAC
rnacentral:rRNA from 1 species